CCUACGGGUGGCAGCAGUGAGGAAUAUUGGUCAAUGGACGAGAGUCUGAACCAGCCAAGUAGCGUGAAGGAUGACUGCCCUAUGGGUUGUAAACUUCUUUUAUAAAGGAAUAAAACGAGGCACGUGUGCCUUUUUGCAUGUACUUUAUGAAUAAGGAUCGGCUAACUCCGUGCCAGCAGCCGCGGUAAUACGGAGGAUCCGAGCGUUAUCCGGAUUUAUUGGGUUUAAAGGGAGCGUAGAUGGGUUGUUAAGUCAGUUGUGAAAGUUUGCGGCUCAACCGUAAAAGUGCAAUUGAUACUGGCAGUCGUGAGUACAGUUGAGGUAAGCGGAAUUCGUGGUGUAGCGGUGAAAUGCUUAGAUAUCACGAAGAACCCCGAUUGCGAAGGCAGCUUACUAAACUGUGACUGACAUUGAUGCUCGAAAGUGUGGGUAUCAAACAGGAUUAGAUACCCUGGUAGUC
rnacentral:rRNA from 1 species